rfam:Lachnoclostridium sp. An76 An76_contig_4, whole genome shotgun sequence.
AUAAUGAUACUUUCGGGGAUGGCUGCUCCGGUCUGAAAAGAUGGUGAGAUUCCAAUGU